GGCGCAGAGCCGUAAAAUGUCGUAAAGUCAGAUAUAAAACGUGACGCUUUUCUUUCUGUGUCCUUCUCAGCUUCAACCCGCCUGUAAGUGUUCGUGAAGAAGGCUGGCUUAAAAAUAGGAGAUUCUUAGGCAUCUCCAUGGUGUUUGAAGUGUGUAGUAACCAACAGAUGUAGUAUGGUAAGUGGUUUGGAUUGGUUUUUCGAAAGUUUCGGAUGACAUUAAUGGUCCUCCUGUGAACGGACUGGGCAAUCAGGCUCCAGAACACAAUGUGGGUGAAUAAUCCUGUGACUUAAUGCAUAAUUUGUACCUGAGGAAGCUUCUCCUAAUGGUGUGAUCUGAAGGAUGGCCACUAGAAGGCGCAACACCCCUUUUUGGUGAUUGGCGGUGUGUUAGAGGUCCCAUUUGACUAGAUUGAAGAAUUAAUGCUGGCAGCUGAUCGUACUUGCAGUACUGCAAGAUGAAAAGUUUGGCGUUGGAGUGAAGGGUUUCCCAGCCAGACUUUUAUUGGAAGUUGGUGCUGGUGAAGAGAUACUUCACAGGAAAUCUGAAAAGCUUUUGCUUUGGAGUGUUUUGUGGUGUAGUUUUCAAUAAAUUAAGUAUGAAAGA